AGUGUGACAAUGCUUGUGACUACUGGGGGAAAGGAACCAUGGUCACUGUCUCGUCAGCUCAACAAUCUGCGCCAACGUCAAUCUUCCCCAUGUCCCAGUGUACUUCUGAUUCUGACGGGUUCCUCACCAUCGGCUGCUUGGUAAGAGGUUUCUCACCUGCGGACUCACUUACUUUUAAAUGGACGGAUUCUACUACGGAGUUGAGUGAUUUCGUGCAGUAUCCAGCAUUCAGACGGGAUGGAGACUAUACCAAAAUCAGCUCUCUGCGCAUAAGAAAAAGCGAUUGGGAUUCUAAGAAAUCGUACAAAUGCGAAGCUUCAAAUACUGAAGGCAAAUUAGUAACUGUUAUUACUCCACCAUCCCCACCGCCAGAUGCGCGUGCAACUGUGUACUUAACAGUACCUACAAAAAUGGAGUUAGACAACGAAACAGCAACCUUCAUGUGUUUAGCCCAACGGUUUUCGCCUAAAACAUGCACGUUUAAGUGGUCUCUGGAUGGUAAGGAGGUGACAAAAGCGAUAGACAAAUGUGACAAAAGUGAGAAGAAAGGCUCGGUAACCGAAUAUAGUGCCACAAGCAUUUUGCAAAUCAGUGCCGAUGACUGGAAGAAGCCAAACAGCAAAGUUAAGUGUGAGUUCGUGCACAAGGCGGGAAAUGAAGAAAGAGAGGCCGCAUAUGCAAUUCCUUUUCAAGAUUGCAGCGAUAUUGCUGUUGAUAUAGUGGCUCCCUCCCUUGAAGCCAUGCUGAAAAAUAGAGAAGGAGUGCUGAAGUGCAAAGCUUCAGCAGACAAUUCAGGAUUCACCAAAAUAACAAUAACAGCGAAUAAUAAUGACAUCGCUGAGAAACCAGUAGAGGGCAACGACAAAUAUGUGGAACUUGACGCCCCAAUAGGCUAUGAAGAAUGGAGCAACGGCACUGAAUUUACAUGCACCGUUGAACACAACGAGCUAGCAGAGCCCAAGUCGACUAAGUUCGUCAGAGAAAAUGGUAAAAACCCCAAGAAACCCACUGUUUUCAUAUUAGCACCCCCAGAGCACAAACCGGGUGAACCGAUGACCCUGACAUGUUAUGUGAAGGACUUCUACCCCAAAGAGGUGUUUGUGUCUUGGCUUGCUGAUGAUGAACCUGUGACUUCUAAAUACAGCACUAGCCUGCCAAUUCAGACAGAUCAAAUCUUCUCAGUCUACAGUCAGCUAACAGUUAAUGAUUCCAAGUGGAAGAAUGGUACAGUGUUCAGUUGUGUCGUGUAUCACGAAGGCAUUGAUGAAAAAAUGCGCGUACUGACGAGAUCUAUUGAUGAUAAUACUGAAAAGGCAGGUGUAAUUAAUCUAAGUAUGAAUACCCCCGCAUCUUGCAAGGACUAGAGCAUUGUG